rnacentral:rRNA from 1 species
AGAGUUUGAUCCUGGCUCAGAAUGAACGCUGGCGGCGUGCCUAACACAUGCAAGUCGAACGAGAAAGCUGGUUUAGGCUGGUGAGUAAAGUGGCGAACGGGUGAGUAACGCGUGGGUGAUCUACCCUUGAGUGGGGGAUAACCCGGGGAAACCCGGGCUAAUACCGCAUAAGCCCUGGAUCGUAAAGAGAGAGGGGAAAGCUUUAGGGUGCUGAAGGAGGAGCCCGCGUCCGAUUAGCUAGUUGGUGAGGUAAGGGCUCACCAAGGCGACGAUUGGUAGCCGGUCUGAGAGGACGGACGGCCACACUGGGACUGAGACACGGCCCAGACUCCUACGGGAGGCAGCAGUGGGGAAUUUUGGGCAAUGGGGGCAACCCUGACCCAGCAACGCCGCGUGGAGGACGAAGGUUUUCGGAUCGUAAACUCCUGUCCGGAGGGACGAAGCAAGUGACGGUACCUCUGGAGGAAGCCCCGGCUAACUCCGUGCCAGCAGCCGCGGUAAUACGGGGGGGGCAAGCGUUUUUCGGAAUUACUGGGCGUAAAGGGCGCGUAGGCGGCUUCGGAAGUCAUGGGUGAAAGCCCCGAGCUCAACUCGGGAACUGCCUGUGAAACCACGGGGCUGGAGUGCUGGAGAGGGAAGUGGAAUUCCCAGUGUAGCGGUGAAAUGCGUAGAUAUUGGGAGGAACAUCUGUGGCGAAGGCGGCUUCCUGGACAGACACUGACGCUGAGGCGCGAAAGCCAGGGGAGCGAACGGGAUUAGAUACCCCGGUAGUCCUGGCUGUAAACGAUGAACACUUGGUGUGGGGGGUAGGAAAGUCCCUCCGUGCCGGAGACAACUCAUUAAGUGUUCCGCCUGGGGAGUACGGCCGCAAGGCUGAAACUCAAAGGAAUUGACGGGGGCCCGCACAAGCGGUGGAGCAUGUGGUUUAAUUCGACGCAACGCGAAGAACCUUACCGGGGUUUGAACUGUUCGGGCGACCUGCAGAGAUGUAGGGUUCCUUUCGGGGACUCGAGCAGAGGUGCUGCAUGGCUGUCGUCAGCUCGUGUCGUGAGAUGUUGGGUUAAGUCCCGCAACGAGCGCAACCCUUGUCUGUAGUUGCCAUCAGGUCAAGCUGGGCACUCUACGGAGACUGUCGGCGAAAAGCCGGAGGAAGGUGGGGAUGACGUCAAGUCCUCAUGGCCUUUAUGUCCCGGGCUACACACGUGCUACAAUGGGUGGUACAGAGGGCAGCGAACUCGUGAGAGUCAGCGAAUCCCAGAAAACCACCCUCAGUUCGGAUUGCAGUCUGCAACUCGACUGCAUGAAGUUGGAAUCGCUAGUAAUCGCGGAUCAGAACGCCGCGGUGAAUACGUUCCCGGGCCUUGUACACACCGCCCGUCACAUCACGAAAGUGGGCUGUACUAGAAGCCGCCGGCCUAACCCUUCGGGGAAGGAGGCGUCGACGGUAUGGCUCAUGAUUGGGGUGAAGUCGUAACAAGGUA